CCCGGAGCAGGCCCGGGAGGGAGGACCAGGGGCGGGGGAAGCCUCCGAGGGGCCAAAAUUCUCAGACUCCUGCUUCUUGGCAGCUGUCUCCCGUCAGAUCCCUGCCAGAGACCUUAGACCCAGGACAUGUCCUAGCAACGGCCCUAGGACAGCCUUUCCCACGGUGUUCCAGGAUGAUGCUGUCAACUGCACCCCUGCCCUCACCCAUCAGAGGUGCCCCCGUGCCCCCCUGGGAAGCACCGAUGGUGUGAUGUUUGCAGCCUCAACAAAUCCAUGACUGUACAGGGACGGAGUCAUAAGGCAACAAAACCCAUGGAACUGGGGCCAAGACAGUGGUCACUGCUGGUCAUAAUCUUCACUAGGUCAAAGCUGACGACACGGCCAGGGCCCUGCUCCCGGUAUGCAUGCACAGUGGCCACAGGACUAACGCUGCCCUUUGGAAGUCAAAUGUCAUACAAAUAGGACGUGCGGUGCAGCAGCCAGGUUGUCCGCAGAAGCAGGGGCUGGGUUU